rnacentral:lncRNA from 1 species
CAGGGAUACUGUCCAUGUGCCCACAGAGAGCAUAUUUAAGAAACUAGGGCCUCCCAAACUGGCUGGGGCUCUUUUCAGUAAGUCUGGAGUGAGCACUGAGCCUCUCUAGGGUUUUAAGGAGGAUGCUAGGUGAUUCCUGUGAUGAAGCACCCCUGACAGCUGUGCCCUGGGGACCCGUAGUGGAUGAGUAAUGGCCUUGACACUUGUCUUACUCAGGUGAAGCAGCGGGAGCAAUGGUGCCCGGUUACUACACAAAGCAAGUGUGAGUGGAAGCAUGUGAAGGUGCCACCAGAAGAGAUGAAGGAAUUUUAAUCAUGCCCACAGGAACAGAGUAUUGUUAGGAAACAAAAUCCAACUGAGCAACUUCAAAGAUCAAAUUGGCUUUAUUCAGUGAUUCGGGAAUCUUGAUAGUAUCCCACCCCACUGAGCAAACAGAAGGGCGCUCCAGACAGCCGCACCGAAAGAAAAAAUAAAAGAGAGAGAGAGAGAGAGAAAGAAAAAAAAAAGAGAGAGAGGAGACUUUUACAGGCAGAAGUGAGCAGGAAGAAGGAAAAAAGGAUUAUUCACUUUGGGGAUGGAAGGAGUCUAUCAGGAGGAUUACCUCAGCAGCACUCACCAAGAAAUUACAGAUGAACUGGUUUAAGAUUACAUUCCUGGGAGAGAUUGAAACUGCAGACGAUAGCUGCUAAGACAUCAAGUCAAAGAGCAAAGCAGAGAGAGCCCAGGGAUGCCUCAAAUGUCCGCUGCCCUGCUCUGCCCAAGGAGCCACAUGCACACGUGGGCCUCUCCCAGAAACAGGGGGACCCCCCCGUGGGACGGGUUUUGAGAAGCCUUGACCUGCAGCCAUCACCUGGACAUGGGGAAAAGCUUUCAUGUCUGCAGGCUGGGAAUCACAGCACUGAAGUAGGCGGUAAGCCUCUGUUUCUACAUCUAAAAAUGGAAAUAAUCAUUGUAUUUUCUCAUAGUCUUCUUGUGAUGCGUCCAUGGAUGUAAAUAAUGC